rnacentral:rRNA from 1 species
AUGUCUGGGAAACUGCCUGAUGUAGGGGGAUAACUACUGGAAACGGUAGCUAAUACCGCAUAACGUCGCAAGACCAAAGAGGGGGACCUUCGGGCCUCUUGCCAUCGGAUGUGCCCAGAUGGGAUUAGCUAGUAGGUGGGGUAACGGCUCACCUAGGCGACGAUCCCUAGCUGGUCUGAGAGGAUGACCAGCCACACUGGAACUGAGACACGGUCCAGACUCCUACGGGAGGCAGCAUG